GUCGAUCGGUUCGGUAGUUUUCGAGCCUAUAUGACAAACAGACAGACAGAUCGGACUGCAUUUUUAUAUGUAUAGAUUACAACAUCAGUUUUUUUAGAACCUAAAGAAUGAAUAUACAUUUAUUGGAUUGAAGCGGUCAUGCAAAUCUAUUUUUACAAACAAUAAGUCUGAAUGAGAAAGGCUGGGUUUGACCGCUAGGUGGAUUAAUUUAGGUUUUUACCGAAUGCUCAUAAAUACAAUAACUGCUUUCAAAUGACGUCUUUCGGAGCGAAUAUCGUUGAAGAAAGUGGAUUGAACUCAACGUUUAAGUUAUAUUUUUAUUGAAUUAAUCUAUCGUUGAACAGUGGACAGUUAAAAAAUAAUAUAUUAACUGAAACGUUGUUAGUUGGUCAACGUUUUAACGGAAUUUUGAUGUCCUCUGUACUAGGACUAUCUCACCCAUUUUUAUAUUAAUCUAAAACUGUUUUCAGGUUAAAGGUCAAAUUCACCAUAGAACAGGAUCGUUAUUGCCACCGACAAAUGAAGAUCAUAAAUUCCUUCAAAUACAUUUCGUUGGAAAUUAUGAUACAGAAAUUGAUAAGCGUUGCGCCAUCAACCGUGCUAUGAAGCGUCAGAUCAUUGGAGAACUACAAGAAGUACAAGAACUACAAGAAUUGCAGGUUAAACGUCCGACUGGAAGUCAUGAACGGCAAUUUAAUGCAACUACUAUGGAUGAAAUAGCUGUUGUGAUUUCUGGUGAAAACGCUGAAUCCCGUGACAUCGUUUUAAAACGCACUGAUGGCCAAUUGCAACGUGUCUAUGAAACCCAUCGUUCGUACGACUCAUUGCAAUAUCCACUUUUGUUCUGCUAUGGAGAGGAUGGAUAUCAUUUCCAAAUAAGAAUGAUUAAUCCAUCGAUAGGCGAAAAAACAAACAAGAAGGUAGUUCAAUGAAUUUCUACUCAUACCGUUUGAUGAUAAGGAAGGAUAUUGAUAACCAUUUACUGCGAUAUAGUCGACUGUUUCAACAGUAUGUGGUGGACAUGUACGUCAAAAUUGAGACUGAGCGCUUAAACAAUCAAGUCAAACUGCGGUCCGAGGAGUACGUUCAUUUGCGAGAUGCAAUAAGUUCAGAUAGGAAUGUCCACGAUAUUGGUCGACAAUUUUUCCGUCCACUUGUGUCGGAAGUCCACGAUAUAUGCAAGAACAUUCCCAAGAUGCCAUGACGUUAGCAAGUCUACUUGAGUCGGAAAGCCAGUUUGUAUGACAAUCGCCGCGGCUGCGCGGGUGAUUUUAUUUCUCAAACGGCAAGCAAUAAAGCUCUCAGGACGACAAAGUGCACGCAAGCGAUUUUCGUUCACUUGCCCAACGUAAUAAUUAAAGCGGCAAAGCAGGAAGCAAACGGACGGCAACACCGCUGGCAAAACGAAUUAUAGAACGAAAACGCACAUUCACAGAGUUGCGCACAUAACUAUUCAGAGUGAGAAAUCUAGCAUACGAGUAGCCAUACUGCAAGUACGGAAAUUAGGGGCUACGUUAUCGCUAGCAAAAAAGAAGAAAUAUAAAAAGAGCGUGAGAGCGUAACUACGAAUAGCGCGCACACACGUUGCAUACAAAAGCUAGUCAGUUGUACUAAUUCUCGAGUACACUGUUUCUGUUUCUGAAUUUUGCAAAGCUAUUGCGAUCAGCUGUGCCAGCCACGGCCAAGGUCGUAUUUUGUAAGCAUCUGUUUUAAUGGCCGCUGGUAGAACGUUUUGCUACCAUAAGCAAAGAGAACCUGGUGGCCUACCAGUAGCGGUGAAAUGCUAAGAGGGUAAAAUAUGGAUACAUCAAUAAGCGCAACGCGCGCAACAAUGGUGAAAAAUCCGAUAUCUAAUGUUGAAAGUUUACGUCAAAAUAUCAUUUCAUGAAUAAGGAAUGGCACUUUACGCUAUCUAAUGUAAACAUUUACAAUCUUCGAUUAGUUUAAUUACACUAAAUAAAAAUGAUUUUGCCUUUCUCCUAGAAAGGUAUAGCAAUCACUUGCAAAACCGAAAGUAUGAAAGUGCUCCAAAGGGCCGAGUGGCAUAUAUCACUCGACUCAGCUCGACGAGCUGAGCAUUUUCUGUACGUGUGUGUGUGGGUGUGUAUGUGCAGAUUUUUAUUCUCACUCACUUUUCUCAGAGAUGGUUGAACCUAUUUCCAUGAAAUUUAUUGCAAAUGAAAGGUCUUGUUGUCCCAUGAGACCCUAUUAAAUUUCAUUGUAAUCGGAUUUUUAGUUUAGAGGUUAUGUAUCAAAAUGUAAAAAUAACCAUCAUUAUCUCAAAAACUACACAACCGAUUUGAACAAAAUUGGUUUAAUUGAACGAGCUACCUCAAAAACCCUUAAUUUUUUAAUCUUAUGAAUAUUGAACUUGUGGUUAAAAAGUUAUAAAAAGAAACGUGUUCUGGAGACUGUUUAAUCUCACUCAUGUUUCUCAGAGAUGGCUGGACCGAUUAUCAUUAAAUCAGUGUCAAAUGGCCCCAUAAGACCCUUCCGAUUUGUUUUGCAAUCGGACUAUUACUUCGCCUGUUAUGUUCAAAAUGUGAAUGUGUUAUGUAAAUGUGAAAUACAGCUAUGAAAAGGAACAUAAUCCGAAGAAUUCUUGGACUCACUCACUUUUCUCAGAGAUGGCUGACCAGAUUUCCAAAAAAAUAGUGUCAAAUGAAAAGUCUAGCUGCCUCAUAACACCCUAUUGAAUUUUACUGUAAUCGAACUGUAACUUCGUCUGUAAUGUACCGAAAUGUGAAAAUGACGAAACUUCAUUAUCUCAGAAACUACACAACCGAUUUGAUCAAUAUUAUUAUCAUAUAAGCGGGCUAGUUAAGGGUUAACUGACGAAUUAUGAUUGAACACGUGGUUUCAAAAUUUUGCUGCACUAUACGUUCCCAUUUUAUUUGAUUGUAAUCGAACUUAAG